GACGGGUAAGCGCAGGAUAUGUAGAGGCCGCUCCCUGCGAGUGGCAGCCCAUAUGGGUGGGAUCCUCGGUUCCUGGGACCCUUCAGUUU
rnacentral:sRNA from 12 species